GAGGCAGAAGAGGUGCUCUGCUUCCGAGCAGUCGAGAAAAAGGUGGCUGCAGUUUAAACCGCCAGCCGGCAGACUUUCCCUUCGUCCUUCUCAGUGCAGAUGUCACCUAUUACUCCACGCAUGGCCCGAACCAAAAGGCAAGCAGCUCUGUCAGCAUGUGAAUUACUGCCUUUCUCUGGAUGCCUGGUGAAACACUGUCGAAAAAUGCACAAGAUGGGUAAAAAAAAAAAACUUGACUUGCGAUUCUGAGAGAUACCCAGCUAUCCAGGAAAUGCCAGUAUCCAGAUUGAUAGACUACCAUGCAUGAGACAUCAUUUACAGUGCUUGCAUUUGAAGACAGCAACUCCUGUUGGUGAGACGCAGGAUGGUUUUAUUCAUGUAUACUGUGGUGAUGUACAGGUCUGUAUAAAUUUACCUCCAGCCAAGGGCUAGGCUGUACCAGGAUGCUGUGAAAGCAAGAGAAAUCAAAAGGAAACACCACUGUCUAUCGAGCUGUGCUGUACCACUGUGUGGUACUGACAGGAUAUGACAAGAAGCUGUCAGAAGUGUUUCAUUUGCAUAAUUCACUAUGCAGGCAGCCUCCGGACAGCUUUAAGAACCCUGCAUUAGGAAGUCACACCACUCAUGACAGCCAUUUAAAAUGCAAGAAGCGGCACCUGGUGAAAACUUUGACGUUGGAUUUAGUCUCUUUCUAAGCUGCUGGGUGUUCUUCCAGUAUCAGCACUGCUGGGUCUCUGUGCUUGUCUAGUUCAGCUGAGUGAGAGGAGCGGGGGAAGGGCUGGGAUAUAGGAGCAGGGUGCGAGAACAAUCAGGGAAAGCUGACACGAAUAUUUACUUGUAUGUAUGAGUAUAUGUAUGUGUUUAUGAAUGUAUGUAUGUAUAUAGGGCUCUUCGUUUGACUCAGUUUUCUUAAUUAAAAGCUUGGAAUAACAAGAUCACUUUAGUUUUUUCUAGGGUACCUUGAAUGAGACUAUGAUUCUGUUUCAUUGAUAAUGUAAAAAAAAAAAAAAACAGCUUCUUAUUUUUAAUUCAAGUAUUAUAGACCCAUAUUGUUUUUUUUACACCCUGGCGAAAAGGUCUAAUGGGCCAGUAAACUUACCCAUUUCAUUAUCAGCUUUACAGAUACAAUAGCACUGUACAAUAUGUUCAAUAGGAGGUGCUGUAGUACUGCACCAGGAAAUAACCCAGUGCUCUACUCGCAGUGGGUGAGAAUAGAGAUCUGUUUGGAUAGCUGUGACUAUGGAGAUUACCAGGUAAGCUCUAAACAAGUUUUUUAGAUGUAUUUAUUAAUUUUUGCAAUGACGUUUAUCAGAAUAGGUCUGUUUAGAGGCAGCUGUAGAGAGAAUUUAUUUUUUAAAUUAUUGUCAACAAAAAAUUGAUUCCUAAUAAUGAGCUCAGUCAUUGCUAUACUGCCUGUCGGACCAUAGAGUUUUCUCCUCAUAUUUCUGCUGAAGAGCAAGUACAGUCAUUUUGAAGCUUGCUGAACUGGAAUGAGAAGCUCUUGGCACAAAAAGCCCUUUUCCUUUAGGCAAGGAGUAAAGCAAGAAAGCCUCAGCUGGACCACUAUCAGUCGUCGGUUUAAUGGGACAGCUCCAAAAUGAGAUCUAUUUAUCAUCACACUGGAAUAAAGCAAGUGCUUUCUAUAUGGACGGGUCUACGGGCUGCACUGACGGGGCAUUUUCUUUUAAAUGAGUUAUCCAGAGACUCUUCACAUCCUCUUUGGAGGAUGUGUAUACUUUCAUACACACAAACAUGGGGGUAUGUUGCAAGAGUGUGUGUGUGUUUGUGUGUGUGUGUGUGUGUGCGUGCGUGCAAAAGCAUCUCUGUAGUCAGCAGGGAUGAAAAUAAGGCUUCCAUUGCAUCUACGAUUUUAAUAAGACUAAUAAAGCCUAUUAA